GUAUCACAUUGGUAUAAGCUCGUGUCUUUCUGAUCUCCUGCACGGCCUUUGAGCAGCCCAGUGCUUCUGUAUUCAUCCUUCUGCCAGCUGCUGAUACUGUUGAGUGCUUUGCCCAUCCUUAGACUUCAGUCGCUGCUGUUAAAUUAGUGAAUACAGGAGGAGGAGUGAAGGAGGUCACUGUGAUGCAUCUGGGUCUUGUUAAGGGAGGAAUGUUCCCCGGUGCUGGGCUCUCAGCCUCUGAGGCUCCUGCAUGGCGUGCACCAGCGCGAGCUCCAGCAGAGCAGAGCUCAGCACAGCUCCACCUGAAAGGAUGUGUGGGUGACAAUCACAAAGAGGUCAAGAAAUAAGCAGCUGGCAUGAACGAGGGAACUGCCAAGGCUGGCACUCAAGUUUGCUACUCCAAAGAGAAUCUCCCAGGGCUGCUGCAUGGAGAGCUUUGGGGUGGUGCUGCGCAGGCAAGGUUUGUGUGAAGUGUUUGCAGGCAGAAGGGUUUGUGUGCUUCGUGUUUGGGAUGAGAUCCUGCAGGAGAACCUGGCAUCCACCACUGCGUCUGAGGGACAUCAUCCCUGGGAGAACAGCCUGCGAGACUCCUGGGUGAGAGGUGUCUGCUGCUGGAGAGGAAUGAGAAAGCUUCCUGAACUGAAAGGAGAGACGAGAGCAGCUCUUAAGAAGACAUUUGCUUGUGACUGCAAAGGUGCUGAACUGAGUCUCCUCCUCCUAGAGGAGCAGAAAGCAGGCGUUCCUCUGCCGAAGGCUGCACCUUCUCCUGCCAGGUAUGGACUUAGAUGCAGUAACUCAGGGCUUGUCUCUGUCUGUGCUGGAUUACUUCAGACUCUUCCGCUUGAAGCCAUCAGCUGAAGAGCACAGAUACCUCAGCUGUUAGAGCUUACUACAACUUGUAAAUAACAUGAAGGAAAGCACAGCCUCGUGUUUAGCUGGCAGCAGCAAACAUCAGAGUCUUCAAGGACAUGGCCACCCUCUCCAGAUCUCCUGAUGGGUGAGCAUCUUUGGGAUGGAGCCCCUGCGAGUCCCACGGGACAAAGAGCAGGACAGUGCUUUCAAGCAAGGACUGAAUCCUUUGGGUGAAAAUUCUUUGCCCUGAAAGAGAGGAUGGGAUUUGCCAGCUGGUGCCCAUAGUGGGAAUGCCUCUGUUUCCAUGACAUUUCUCCUAGGACGGUGCCAUCUCCUCACCCAUUACCCUCCUCUGCAAUCCACAUGCUUGUCAAAACCAAUCCUUUCUCUGCCAGCUCACGUGAUGUUUUCCCUGUAAAUUCUUAUCUCUGUAUUUUUGUGAUACUUCAAAAACCCCACCAGAAUUUAAAUGCAGAGCCAAACGACCCCAAAUGGGCAAGGACCAAUGGAAAGGGCUAAAGCUAUUACCAUCCUUGUUAUGAGCAUAAUGUGCUGGAAGCAACAGCUCUGGCUGAGCUUUGAGAGCUAUAGCUGCUGGAGAUUUAUUUUACAAAGCUACCCAAAACUCUGAAGCUGUCACGUGUGUUUAUGGUACUCCACAGACUGCAGAGGGGUAAGAAGCAGUGAGUUAGGAGGAGGGGAGGAUGGUUACUAUCAGAGAUGACUUUCUUCUUGUCCCACUCCAGGCUGAUGGUCCUGUGUGUCUGAGCAGUAGAUGUGUCCCACUCCAGCUCACAAACUGUUGGUACAGCUCUUUGUGAUUCCUUUUGCUGCAGGAACAUUUCUUUGUCUGUAAACAGCUUGGCUGCCAUAACAAGAGUGGUUGGAAUAAUGAUGUUGCAACAUUGCUAUAAACAUACUUGAAAUAGUAGUUUGUGAGGUUUGUGUUGCCCUGUCUCAGCUGGCAGCCAGAAGAGAGCCAAAGGACAGUUUCAGAGAAGUUUGUUAACCCCCCUGCAUUUGAGAGGGUACAGCUCCAUAUCCCUGCUGCCAGAGGCUGCUCCAGGCUCUCCCCUGAUGGAUGCAGGCUCUGUUUGCUUUCAGAAUUACUGAAGCCAGAAUUAGGCUGUGAGCCUGGGUGAGCUUUCUUCACCUCAUUCCAAAUCUGCCUGAACUUGGUGACUUUCUGUAUUGGAUUUAAGCUUCUUUGCAUUUGCAUUCAGUAGAGGAGAGGAGUGCAGGUGAUGGGAAGAGAGACAGAAAACCCAGUGCAGAAACAGGCAGAAGAACCACUUUGGUCUGCAUGGUACUGGAUUGCUAUUUCUCUUUUAGCAUCUUCUGUGGUUUGCUACAUAGAUGCUUUCCUUGGCAAAACACCAAAACAAACCAACAACCAAAACAGAAACAAAACCCCCUGGGCUGCUGUUUUUGUUUCUAAUGUAAUCAAAAGGUUUUUGCUUUGUCAGCUGAAGCCUUAGCAGAUAAACAGAGAUGGUGAUUGAUUUGUGUCCAGCUUUGAAAGCUGUUCUUCCAGAGGCAAAUGUUAGUGUGCCAGGGACAUGUGGAAUGGAGUGAUCUGUGUCCUUGCUGUCUGCAAGGAAGUCUGUCCAGCCCUGGUUUUAAUCACCUCCACUUAGUGGUCAGGUUAAUUCAGCUUGCCAGUCAGAUCAUCUAGUUCAGUGCCCACUGCUGUUAGCACAGACUGGAGGUCAAAUCUUUUAUCUGUUUUCUCCAAACACAUUUGGACACUCCUCCUUGCUGCAAGUCUCUGGAAGGAGGUGAUAAAUCUUCCUGCUAGUCUCCCAGGAGGCAGCACCACGCCUGCCUGCAGGCAGAUCUUCAGCAUUCUUCCAGGCUCUGUGGGUACAAAUAAAAACUUUUGAAAGCCC